AGUGAACGCUGGCGGUAGGCUUAACACAUGCAAGUCGAACGGCAGCACCGUAAGUGCUUGCUCUUACGGGUGGCGAGUGGCGGACGGGUGAGGAAUACAACGGAAUCUACUUUUUCGUGGGGGUUCACGUAGGGAAACUUACGCUCAUACCGCAUACGACCUACGGGUGAAAGCAGGGGAUCUUUGGACCUUGCGCGAUUGAAUGCGCCGAUGUUGGAUUGGCUAGUUGGCGGGGUAAAGGCCCACCAAGUCGACGAUCGGUAGCUGGACUGAGAGGAUGAUCAGCGACACUGGAAGUGAGACGGGGUCCAGAGUCCUGAGGGAGGCAGCAGUGGGGAAUAGUGGACAAUGGGGGCGAGCCUGAUCCAGCCAUAGCGCGUGGGUGAAGGAGGCGUUGGGGGUGGAAAGCCCUUUUGUUGGGAAAGAAAAGCAGCAGGUUAAUACCCCGCUGUUCUGACGGUACCCAAAGAAUAAGCACCGGCUAACUUCGUG
rnacentral:rRNA from 1 species